CGGGAAUAUUGCGCAAUGGAGGAAACUCUGACGCAGUGACGCCGCGUAUAGGAAGAAGGUUUUCGGAUUGUAAACUAUUGUCGUUAGGGAAGAUACAAGACAGUACCUAAGGAGGAAGCUCCGGCUAACUACGUGCCAGCAGCCGCGGUAAUACGUAGGGAGCAAGCGUUAUCCGGAUUUAUUGGGUGUAAAGGGUGCGUAGACGGGACAACAAGUUAGUUGUGAAAUCCCUCGGCUUAACUGAGGAACUGCAACUAAAACUAUUGUUCUUGAGUGUUGGAGAGGAAAGUGGAAUUCCUAGUGUAGCGGUGAAAUGCGUAGAUAUUAGGAGGAACACCGGUGGCGAAGGCGACUUUCUGGACAAUAACUGACGUUGAGGCACGAAAGUGUGGGGAGCAAACAGGAUUAGAUACCCUGGUAGUCCACACCGUAAACGAUGGAUACUAGGUGUAGGAAAUGAUUUCAUUUUCUGUGCCGUCGCAAACGCAAUAAGUAUCCCACCUGGGGAGUACGGCCGCAAGGUUGAAACUCAAAGGAAUUGACGGGGGCCCGCACAAGCAGUGGAGUAUGUGGUUUAAUUCGAAGCAACGCGAAGAACCUUACCAGGGCUUGACAUAUAGAUGAAUAACUAAGAGAUUAGUUAGUCCUUCGGGACAUCUAUACAGGUGGUGCAUGGUUGUCGUCAGCUCGUGUCGUGAGAUGUUAGGUUAAGUCCUGCAACGAGCGCAACCCCUGUGAUUAGUUGCCAACAGGUUAAGCUGGGAACUCUAAUCAGACUGCCGGUGAUAAAUCGGAGGAAGGUGGGGAUGACGUCAAAUCAUCAUGCCCUUUAUGACCUGGGCUACACACGUACUACAAUGGAUGUUAACAGAGGGAAGCAAGACAGCGAUGUGGAGCAAACCCCUAAAAACAUUCUCAGUUCAGAUUGCAGGCUGCAACCCGCCUGCAUGAAGAUGGAAUUGCUAGUAAUCGCGGAUCAGCAUGCCGCGGUGAAUACGUUCCCG
rnacentral:rRNA from 1 species